UACGUAGGGUGCGAGCGUUGUCCGGAAUUAUUGGGCGUAAAGGGCUCGUAGGCGGUCUGUUGCGUCGGGAGUGAAAACUCAGGGCUUAACCCUGAGCCUGCUUCCGAUACGGGCAGACUAGAGUUCGGUAGGGGAUCACGGAAUUCCUGGUGUAGCGGUGAAAUGCGCAGAUAUCAGGAGGAACACCGGUGGCGAAGGCGGUGAUCUGGGCCGACACUGACGCUGUAGAGCGAAAGCGUGGGGAGCGAACAGG
rnacentral:rRNA from 1 species